AUGCCAUCAUCAAGGCACUACCAUUCUGGUAGAAUUUACUCACCAACUGGUUCAUCUGAUCAGUGGACUGGCACAUCAGGGCAAUGGUUUUCAAGAGAUGUGAACGUCCAGAUAUACGCUCUGAGUAGUGGGCCGGAAGAUGCCACAUCAUUCCCAAUACUAUGCUGUCUCUAACACAACUGAAAUGGGGUGCACCACAGAGCAGAUCACUCAUAAUGGGCCACUUACUGAACACUUGUCACCUGGACACAAAUGAGGCAGGAAAAUCACUGCUCAGGCAUGGACGCCAAUGUCUACUCCUGGAAAUCCGCUUCUGCUCACUCCAGAAAGCACCGGAGGUGUGACGAGAGCAACCCUCAUUGCUGUGCAUCCCCUGGCAGGAAACACACGCUCAGGUGCAUUUGUUCGUCCGUUUUCUUUGAAAUGCUGUGGAAAGCAGUGUACAGCAGUCCUAGCAAAAGGAGAAUUCAGGAGCUAAGUGAACACCGCAGUGGAUUUCAGCCACCGUCCCACACCUACAAGAUGUCAAAAGCGCCAAAUCCCAGAGCCUAAUGGGACCUCUGCAGUAGCCAACAUCCCAUAUGCAUAAAAGAACCUUAUAUAGUAGUAUCUCCCCAGCAAAGGGACUGUUCUUGGAAGCCAAACCAUGCUGCUUCUAGAUCCAUCUCUGGUCUAGGACAAUCUUUCUGCCCGUGAGCGUUUGUAACAGAAAGCUCUCCAAGCUAUGCCCAUGGCUUUGCGUUUCCUGGGAAAGGAGGGAGAAAGGAAAAGCAAAUGUUUCAUUCAUCAGUGUCUAAAAGGCCCAACCUGAGCCUCUCAGGAUCUCUGCCUCUUCCAGGGCAAGUCUGCUUGGCCCCAGAGGGAUCUGUCUCCCUCCAACCAGAUGAGAUGCACGGAAUCUAUGGUCCACCAGACAGUACUUAAGGAUGCUGCCUUGCCCAACCUGUGAACAAGCCUCUCUCCAAAACUUUCCUCUCUUGAAUAAAAGUGUGUCA
rnacentral:lncRNA from 1 species